UUCGAAGAGAGCUUCUCUCCAUAACGAGAAAGAGAACGAGCUCAGCGAACUGAAAAUAAUAUUUUCAACAAUUUCUCCUUAACGAUCGAGGAAUCACCACCUUCCAAAAUGGCCCACCUAAGAACUCAUUCUUUUCAAGAUGGACUCUUUCCUUCGGAUGAGGACGCCAAGAGCCGCAGCUGUUCUUCCGUCAGCGGCAGAAGCUUCCAGAGUGUCAGCAGCAACAGCAACAGUUCGACCUGUGACAGGAGUUGCUGUAGGGACGAGAUGUCUCAUCAUCACGAAAGCAACAGCAAUAACAAAAAGAUGAACAAGAAGAAAUCUCACAGGAAACAGAAAACAAUCGACAGCGAUUUCGUUACGUAUUUCAUCUGUCGCCGCCCAUGAGAUCUUUCUCUCGCUCUCUGUCUGUCUGUCUGUCUCUGUAUUCUUAUCAAAUACGAUUAGUCAUAUUUUGCUUACUGUUGCUGGUGUUACAUUUUCAAUGCUAUAUUUUAUAUUUAUUUGAUUACAUUUAAAAGCUAUUUUGUAUAUAAAUAAAGACUUAAAAGAAUCA